rnacentral:siRNA from 1 species
CGACAAACUUGUACUAUGCCG